rnacentral:lncRNA from 1 species
AGAAAUGGGGUGAAUACCCACAUCUGGCGAGCAAAGGCUUCGGGGCGAGUGCUCGGGGUGGGUACCUGCAGGAGCCGUCGGGUGCACAGCAGCCGUGGCCCAGGUCGCAGUGGGAGCUGCAGUCAUCGGCUGUAAGAGUGAUGCGAGAGAGUAAGGCCCGAGUCAGUGUUGGACUCCCUAGGAUGUGGGACUUGUGAGAGGAUGUGGGGUCCCAGUAGUGAGGUGGGCGCACUGAUCCAUCACGUUCGCAAGGGGCUAGCUGGGUCUCGCCCCGCUAGUCCGAGCGGCUGCAGUGCCGUCUCUGGCCGGCAGAGGUCAACGUGCAAGCGAGGGACGGCCGGACAGUGUCUCUGCGGGAGCCGGGGGGCGCUCACCUCGGGCAGGCUGACCGGGCGCCCCCAGGAUGCACAACAGGCACACGAGAUGUAGGCAGCGGCAGCCGCUGAGCAUGGUCAGCGCCGGCCCCAGGAGGCACCGCCGGAUGCACUGCCGGACGUGCGGACACCUCCGGUCCUCGCGGCGGGGCGCUCCCCUGGGCUCGCGCCGUCCGCCGCCUGGCUUCGCCACCUAACCUCUCCGAACCUCGCUGGGGUCCAUGAAGGAAGGAAAUUAGGGGAGUUGAAACGCGAGGAGACCGUCAAGUGCCGGCCAAAGGCGCGCGGUGCGGUUACGCUACCGCCUCCCGCGGCCGCGCUGCUCACCGCGCCCCUCACCCGCGCCGCAACUCAGCCCUGCCCGCUCCUUCCCGGCACGCUUCUCUAUAUAUGCCAUGCACACUCAGGGCACAGCUGCCUCUCCCUGGCCGCCUGCUGUCACCAGCCCACGCCCCCUCCGCUCGUAAAGCCCUCACCACCGGCCUCAUCUGUCUGCUGCCCUCCUCCUCCACGCCCUCCGCUUCUUUUUCUCUAUGGCACCCACGGCCUUCCCGGAUGGACUCCUGUUAUCCACAUGUACAGUCUGCUCCGUCCU